rnacentral:lncRNA from 1 species
UCAAGCUGUGAAACUCAGCACAAUCAGACUGUGGCAGGGAAAGGGAGCCCUCUCCAACCAUCACAACGCAGUGUUAUUCUAGAACGGAGGGUUCCAGGACGUUUUGGAGCAUGGUGCUCCUUCCUAACUCCCCAAAGUAAACCUUGAUGCAAACAGGAAGAAUAUCUCCAUUUUUCCCAGCCAGCUGCUAAGAACCUGGGCCCGGCUCAAAAGAAAUGGGUCUCGCCUCGGCAGAGCCUUGGACACGUGAAACCCAAAUGAACGGGCAGCAGGGAUGGGUAGGGUGAGACUUGAGCCACCCCUGCCUCACAACCAGCAAUCCUACCACCCCAAACUGGUGUGAACAUGAGGAGAAACACAGAAGAAGAGGGCAAACAUCUCAGGACUUAUGCAGCUUCUGAAAGCCUCGGAUGGUGGAAGAGCCUGAGACUGAGCAUGGAGGCAAGGAGCACGCCUUGAGGAUGGGCCUGGAGGGACCUGAGCUAUCUGCCUACCUUCUCUCUUAAAGAAAAAAAAAAUAGUAAUAAUAAUAAUAAUAAUAAUAAAAAAGAUGCUCAAUGGCA